rnacentral:rRNA from 1 species
CAGUCGAACGGGAAACCUUUUAUUGAAGCUUCGGCAGAUUUAGCUGGUUUCUAGUCGCUGACGGGUGAGCAACGCGUGGGUAACCUGCCUUAUACAGGGGGAUAACAACCAGAAAUGGUUGCUAAUACCGCAUAAGCGCACAGGACCGCAUGGUCCGGUGUGAAAAACUCCGGUGGUAUAAGAUGGACCCGCGUUGGAUUAGCUAGUUGGCGAGGUAACGGCCUACCAAGGCGACGAUCCAUAGCCGGCCUGAGAGGGUGAACGGCCACAUUGGGACUGAGACACGGCCCAGACUCCUACGGGAGGCAGCAGUGGGGAAUAUUGCACAAUGGGGGAAACCCUGAUGCAGCGACGCCGCGUGAAGGAAGAAGUAUCUCGGUAUGUAAACUUCUAUCAGCAGGGAAGAAAAUGACG